rnacentral:rRNA from 1 species
UACGUAGGGUCCGAGCGUUGUCCGGAAUUACUGGGCGUAAAGAGCUCGUAGGUGGUUUGUCGCGUUGUUCGUGAAAACUCACAGCUCAACUGUGGGCGUGCGGGCGAUACGGGCAGACUUGAGUACUGCAGGGGAGACUGGAAUUCCUGGUGUAGCGGUGGAAUGCGCAGAUAUCAGGAGGAACACCGGUGGCGAAGGCGGGUCUCUGGGCAGUGGCUGACGCUGAGGCGCGACAGCGUGGGGAGCAAACAGG